UCAUUUUUUUCGUGUGGAUAUACUCCUUUUCUAAGAAUUCGCAAACUCCAUUGCAGCCCUAUCCCCCCGCUUGUGACGGGAAAAAAUUGCAGCCCUAUCCCCUAGUAUGCAUUUACAAAUUACUUCUCUUAAGGAGGUUCGCGACGGUUAGCGCCAUGUUGGAUUUCCGAUUUUUUUUCUGAAAAAUAAUGCCUUUCGGAGUGGAAAAAUGGGACGCGAUCGAUCAUGCACAGAAAAUAGUUUGACCAUGACUUCGCAGCGCGUGCUCGAGUCGAGACAAAUUAUUUGAGGAAGAAGCUCAGCCACUAGUGGACUUGCGGAUUUGUUUUGACAUUGGCGGUUUUUGGAUAGCUCGGUUCUCCUGCCGACGUGUCGUGGAGAUGAAGACGCGGGAGAGUAAUCCGUCACCCACGACGCGGCCUCUCAUUCUGCGUACUGGACGAUGCAAGAAGCCGAGGAGGGGGACGCUUCGCAAACUCAAGCGAUCGAUCGAGUUCCUGAAAAACGGAAAGGGCGAUCUCCAUCACUAACGCCACUGGAUUCGACUCCCGUGAAGAGGUCGUUCAGUGCCCCUCUUCACGGUCGACGAAUCGUUCAUCUCAGGUAUCUGGCUGUGGGAUUGUCUGCGUGCCAGAAUCCUGGAUGUGGCAAACCUCUGGCGCUCAUUGAUUGCGUUGAAGAGAAGAGGUACGACCUGGGCAGCGUACUUGUCAUUCCGUGUCAGCAGUGUUGGAUGGAGAAUUUUAUAGAUACAGAUAGCCCUGUAACUGCUCAACACCCUGGCCCCCGUGCUUCCACAAGCAACACCAAAGCUGCUUUGGGUAAGUGCGUUUUUCAAUCUCAUAAGAUUUAUUUAUGAUAUUUGCGAGUCAUUGCCACCCUAUGGCUAUGGAAAUGUAUGAGCACACUGUAUGCGCGGCGGCCGCGAGUGUCUGUGUGUUUGCAUAGACCUGCAUGUUUGUGCAUGUGUGCACCAUACGCAUGUAUGAACAUGCACAUGCAUAUGCGCUCAUGUGGACGUGCCCUCGCACACAUACUAUACACACGUGCAUGACCGCUCCCAGGGCAUGUUGGUGUGACAUGUGUAUGCAGGCAUCUCCACUCAUGCAUGUGGGUGGGUACGCACACAUGCGUGAAUGUAUGUGUGUGUACGCGCGCGUGUGUUCUAUUGCGUGUGAGAGCAUGCAUGUGUGUGUGUGUGUGUGUGUGUGUGUGUGUGUGUGUGUGUGUGUGUGUGUGUGUGUGUGUGUGUGUGUGUGUGUAUGUGUGCACGGAUGUGUGUGUCGAUGGUGUGCAUUUUUGUGAUUGGUGAACACUCUGAUCCGUAAACCGCGAUACCGGAGCUCCCAAGCUACAGCCUCAGAUUGAUUUAUAGUUCAUCGUUGGGAAUGAGUUCGCUGCUCAUGAUGCUGUUGCGGAUGUUGCGGCCCUAGCUGAAAUUGUCGAAGCUCGCCCUGAUGCCAGUAUCCUGUAGCACUCUGUCACUUUUGCAUCAGCAUGUUCGGCGAUGGAGUUUGCAGAACAUCAGCAAAAGCGGGUGGCCACCCUUCAACCGUUGGUCCAAGCAACGUGCUUCUCUAAGUCAGUUGCAGUGCGGGCAGCUGCAAGUGGGUUGGUGAUGAAGCACUUUGUCUUGUCCUACAAACGAAGUGGUGAGCCAGCCAUUUCCAGACUGAUGAAGGAGCAAGUCGGAGGAAAUGACGACCUGGAUCCCAUCGUCAACCAAAGUGUACAUUUUUCGGUGUUGAUAUCAUCUUAGUCAAUACCUCGAACAGUCUGUAAAAUUUUAUGUCAUAUUUUCUGUCCUAACUGAUGUUAUGGACGAUUUCUCAUCAAUUUUGGGAUUUUGUGUUAUUUUGUGUCAUCAAGGAAAAUUGUGUUUUUGGCAAGACCUA